rnacentral:lncRNA from 1 species
AGCAGAGGAUGAAAGAUAGUGAUAGCGAGGAGAGCGCAAGAAGGAAAGCAGAGGAGGAGGGUAUGAUGAAAGCGUGAAAAGAAAAGUGUAGUGCUGCCGAAUACGGGCUCUGUGGCAAUGACUGCUACGAGAUGACACCAGAGUAGCACAAUCAUAGUCUUUUCACCAGUGACACCAUCGAUGAGGCAUGCGGCGAGCUGGCCCACCAAUACCAUAUAUGGAAACAAAGCACUACAUAAACAGAGGCCUGUCUGUGCAGCUGCUCUGAAUCGUGCCCACGCAUCACCCGCGCGCUGCCUCUCGCAAUCUCCCGAUUAGCGAAGCAGUCGCGCCACACUUCGCUCCGUUUGCAACGUGCUGCAUGAGACAGAUUGUCUGUGCCAGCUGCGCUACUCAUAGCGUUCUCUUCCUAUUAUAAACCAUGUACCUAUAUAAUCAUAAUACAAAGUAUUGACCCCGCGAAAUGAAAACGUAUAGAGGUACGCUGAAAGUUCACAAUAGGGAGUAUCGUAAUUGUUGGUGAAUUUCUUUUGCUGCACAUAAUUUAAAGUGUUUUGUGCAGUGAAGAUGUUCAUUACGAGUAUCAUGAACCAAAUUUCACUUUAUGAACAUGCAACAUAGCUUAAAAAUUAUGUUGAUUGGAAAUAAAACAAAACCUUUACACUUGACCAGCGGAUGUAUGGUAUGUCGCUCUGUUGUAUGAAAUGUGUUCAUAGUGCACAACAAAGAGGGAGCUCUUGAGCUGUGUUUGCAAACGCUGUGCUUUCCUCAUUUUUUGAGCUUUGGAAAGGGGGCGGGGUUGGGGUAGUGUUGUGAGAAGUACGAUCUGUUUGUAACAAACUGCUGUAUUUUGCCUUUAUUUUUAAAAAAUAAACACACAG